rnacentral:sRNA from 1 species
UUGAAUAGUUCACCUAGUAUCUAAACCAGAGCCCUUCUAUGAACCUACCUGUUUUUUCUUAAAUGCCUAGGCUCAUCUAUGAUGGUUCAAAUAACAAAUACCUAUGGCGGGAAUACCUAUUAUCUAAUAUCAAGUUCUAGGUGAUCAAUCUAAAACUAGCAUUAAGAAUAAUCAAGAUGAAGAACUAUAAGAAUAAUCCUAAGGGGUUUUCGAUCUACUAAUCCAUCUAAAUCCCUAUUGAGACUCCGUAGACCCAACAAGGUGAUUACUCAAACAU